GCUACAAAAGCUGCUCCUGCAGCUUGGUGGUGUGCCAGGAACGGUCACUCCAGGCAUCUCCUGCAAGUCCCCUCCGGAGAGCUCCCGCUCCAAGGACUGCCAAUUCCCCCUUCCAAAAGCUCGUUCUGAACCCAUUGCCCUACGGACCUGCAGUACAACCAGCAGGACAGAAGCAGCAGUUUAUCAGGCCAGAGCAGAACAAGAAAACACCUGGAUCUUCUCUUUGAAAAUCUAUCUUCUGCUGAGCACGGAGAAUAUAUUCUUGAGAUGGUUGAUCAGCAUCAAACAAGCCUAAUAAGCUCAGGAUGCAGCAAGUACUUCUUUCCCUUUGGAGAGAGAAAUGUGCUUCUCUGCUAUCAUUAUGAUUACAGCACCACUUCUCUAAUCCUUGCUGAGGAUCAAGGCCCUGGGCUGCUGGACAGAUAUGUAACAAAGAGAGUCUCUGAAUCAGACAAGACAAAUUACUGGGAUAAUUAGGAUGUGGCAGGGGGAAGACAUGGAAGGACAAAUGGCCCCAGAUCUAUUCCCAGUGCAACUAAAUGCUGCAAAACAUUGGAAUACGAAAAGUCCAAUUCCCUAAGAGCCUGGUCCUAAAAGAUGGAGACCUCUCACUGGUUUCAAUCUUUAAUAAAUUAAGAAAGAUUUCACAACCAACCAGAGUCCCGUUUACAAACUAGUCUUGGAAACCUUUGGAUUUAGGAUACAGAAAUUGGAUCGAGUCAGGUAGAAAGGUUUCUCUGAAAGAGGGACUACACUUUCCAGAUGAAUAAGUUCACUUGUACAUAGGUUUUUAUUCUACUCUUUUCCCUUACAAAGGGGAGUGUGUUCAUUUACCUAGGUGUGAAAUGCACCGUUUAUUUUGAUGUCAUUUGAAGCCCACUGCCCAAACUCUCAAUUCUCAGCUUCUCAAAGUCAAUGGAGAAUGGCAGAUGGCACGAUACAAGCCUGGUUUCCACUGAGAGUCAUAUCCCUUAUGCAUAUCCUAUCGUCACGGCCUAUCAGUACGCCAGAGCUCAUGUAAUGAAGGCUUGGGCUCUUAUUUAGUGCCCUACACACACCUUUACACACUAUUAUGCAAUAAAAUAGACCUUGUUUUUCACAUCUUGCUCCCUAUCUCCGCAAGUCAAAAGGUGGCUGGCUAUAGGUUAUAUUCAGUCGUAGAGUAGGCAUUUCUUUAAUGGACAUCAAGCCACUCACUGGAUUGUGUCCCCAUUCUGGUCCUUUACCUCAUUAGCCCUUCA